CAUUUUUUAGUGGAGGAAACUGAGGCAGAUGUUAAAAUGCUAGGAAGUGGCUCAGGUUAGAUUUGAAUUGUAUUCGUUAUACCUUCUGGCUGCCUAACUGUGUCUCAGUGGAAUGAAUUUCCUCAUAAAUAAAGACACAGGUUUGGAUUUGUUUGCUUUUACAAAGUUGACUUUAUUCUGUUAAGCGGAGUUUCUGGGUGAGCAUCAGCUUUCAGUCUAAACACCCUGCCUCAGUCAGGAGUUGGUGUGUCCAGUAGCCAGGCCCCCCACCUUCAGAACUUAGAAUUUAAGAAUCUAGUGGGGGAUUGUUACAAUGCAUAGAAACUGGAGCCAGUUUACCCUGGGAGACCCUUUGCCUUCCCAGCCGGGGACAUCCAUCCACCACAUCUGAGCCUGCAGAGUUCUCCCAAGCCCCAGGCUGCUGAAGGACAUGAUUGGGUGUGGGAGGAGAUGUUGCAAUCAACGACUGGAAGAGAAACCUUUGACCAUGGUCUUGGCUCACUCCUCACUGGCUUCAGUAUCUUUCAAUGAAGCCAUUCUCUCAGUUGAGAUACCAUGCUCAGUAGAAAGCCUGUCCAGAGAGUCCAAGAAGAAGAUGGUUCUCAGGAGUGGGAGCUCUGUGAGUCCAGAAGAGAGAGCUGUGGAGGGUCAGAUGGUACAGAGGAAUACGUCCAUAGAGACCCAACAUGCUGCUUUGAAGCAACCAUCCAUUGUUGUCUACCUUGAGCUCUCAGGAACCAAGGACAGCAAUUCUUGGGCAAGAGAUAUAUUGGAGUCUCAUCAGGUGUCUCGGUGGAUGAGAAAGAGCGUGGUGUGGGCAUGCUGAACAAGGGCCAAGAGAACUUCAA
rnacentral:lncRNA from 1 species